rnacentral:rRNA from 1 species
GUCCUUGCCGUAAACGAUGUAUACUUGGUGUAACCGGACUCAACCCUGGUUGUGCCGUAGCUAACGCGAUAAGUAUACCGCCUGAGGAGUACAGUCGCAAGGCUGAAACUCAAAAGAAUUGACGGGGACCCGCACAAGCAGUGGAGCAUGUGGUUUAAUUCGAUGCAACGCGAAGAACCUUACCCAGGCUUGACAUGCACAGGAAGAUAGCAGAGAUGUUAUCGCCCUUCGGGGCCUGUGCACAGGUGCUGCAUGGCUGUCGU